UACAGAGGUCUCAAGCGUUGUUCGGAUUCAUUGGGCGUAAAGGGUGUGUAGGUGGCGCCGUAAGUCGGGUGUGAAAUUUCGGAGCUUAACUCCGAAACUGCAUUCGAUACUGCGGUGCUUGAGGACUGGAGAGGAGACUGGAAUUCAUGGUGUAGCAGUGAAAUGCGUAGAUAUCAGGAGGAACACCUGUGGCGAAGGCGUCCAUCUGGCCCGUUACUGACGCUGAGGCGCGAAAGCUAGGGGAGCAAACAGG
rnacentral:rRNA from 1 species